rnacentral:rRNA from 1 species
CCUACGGGAGGCAGCAGUGGGGGAUAUUGGACAAUGGGGGGAACCCUGAUCCAGCGACGCCGCGUGAGUGAAGAAGUAUUUCGGUAUGUAAAGCUCUGUCAGCAGGGAAGAAAGAAAUGACGGUACCUGACCAAGAAGCCCCGGCUAACUACGUGCCAGCAGCCGCGGGAAUACGUAGGGGGCAAGCGUUAUCCGGAAUUACUGGGUGUAAAGGGAGCGUAGACGGUUAAGUAAGUCUGGAGUGAAAGGCCGGGGCCCAACCCCGGGACUGCUCUGGAAACUAUUGAACUUGAGUGCAGGAGAGGUAAGCGGAAUUCCUAGUGUAGCGGUGAAAUGCGUAGAUAUUAGGAGGAACACCAGUGGCGAAGGCGGCUUACUGGACUGUAACUGACGUUGAGGCUCGAAAGCGUGGGGAGCAAACAGGAUUAGAUACCCUGGUAGUC